CAGCCGCGCGGUAAUACGAAGGGUGCAAGCGUUAAUCGGAAUUACUGGGCGUAAAGCGUGCGUAGGCGGUUUGUUAAGUCUGUUGUGAAAUCCCCGGGCUCAACCUGGGAAUGGCAAUGGAUACUGGCAAGCUAGAGUGUGUCAGAGGAUGGUGGAAUUCCCGGUGUAGCGGUGAAAUGCGUAGAGAUCGGGAGGAACAUCAGUGGCGAAGGCGGCCAUCUGGGACAACACUGACGCUGAGGCACGAAAGCGUGGGGAGCAAACAGGAUUAGAUACCCCGGUAGUCCCUGUCUCUUAUACU
rnacentral:rRNA from 1 species